UUAAACUAAAAGACAUAUAAAUUUAUUUUCCCGAAGUGAGAAGAGCUAACUAAACUAGCUUUUUUAGAAGGUUUGUAGUAAUGUAGCAAAAUUACAUAGGCAUUUGUUAGUUAGGGGUGAAAGGCCCGCCAAUUUUCAUUGAUAACUGGAUUAAACUUAAAAAUAUUUAGUAUUUAAACACAAACUCAAAAAUCUAAGCUUUUGAGUAGAUUAAAAUUAUUGUUUUAGGAAAAGAAAAAUCACUCAUUUAUUAAUAUAAUACAGUGAAAAUAACUCAAUAAUCACUUUACUAAUCUUUUUAGGUUACUUAGGUUUAUAUAUUCUACUAAUAUAAUGUUGGAUAUAAAUACUGUUUAAAUGAGUAGAGAAUAUUCUAAAAAAAAUAAGGAACUCGGCAAGUAUUUUCUUCAGCUGUUUAUCAAAAACAUAGCUAGUUGGCUUUUAUAAUUAGUAAGCUCUGCCCCCCGGGGAUGAAAAAUUUAACGGCCGCAGUACACUGACUGUGCAAAGGUAGCAUAAUCAAUUGGCUAUUAAUUGUAGUCGAGUAUGAAAGAGUCCAUGGGGAAGUGCUGUCUUAUUUUUUUUUUUGCGAAUUUGCUAAGCAAGUGCAAAAACUUGCGCAUAUUCUUAAUAGACGAGAAGACCCUAUAAAUUUUCUACUAAUUAAGGCUGGUUGGCCAAGUUGGUUUUUGUUGGGGCAACAGAUUAACAGAUAA
rnacentral:rRNA from 1 species